AGCUGCAGCAGCACCACAGGGACAUCCCGGGAUGCACCUGGUGAUGGCUCCUCCAGCUACGCCUGGUCCUCUGCUGAAUGUCCCAACAAUCUGCUCCAGAUGAUGGAUUCCAGCAGCUUGCUGAGCCACAGGAGGUUCUUCAGGGCAUCAGCAGCACUUCCUGGACUCUCCCUGCAUUCCUGCUCCCACAGUAGGACCCAGCUGUUUCUGACUGUCUUGGUUUGGAAAGACAGGUAUCUGUCAGGGAAAACUGGAGUUUCCCUUGGAAUGGGGAAUGUAAAAACUCCCUCCCUCCAAAUUAUUACAAUUUUGCAAUUAGGAGCUUUCAGGCAAAAAAUAUGGGAAUAACAGUUCUUUACUAGGAAUAUUAAAAAUACAAAUGCAGUAGUACAAAAAAAAAAACCAAACAAGCAAACGAACGAACAAAAGUCCUAGAAAACCCUGACAGAGUCAGAGAUACGACCUGACACCCUGUUGUCGGUGUGUUGGAAGCAGUCCAAAUAAAUCCUCCUGGAGUGACAGAUGUGGUUCUGUUGGAGCAGAGAUGAUCCUGUAGGGAAAAGGGCCCAGUGCUGGCGAGAUAAGUCCGGUCUUCCUCUGGGGAUCCAGUGGAAACAGGCUGCAUUAGUGUUUGGGAUUUCUGGUUUUAUCCCGGUGGAAAGGCUUUGGCUCCUCCCACUGGGUGGAGCAUCUCCCAAUGGGAUGAGGUGAUGUUAUCAGUCAUGGGAGAGCCUUCAAUGGCCCAUUCACAGGUGAUGUCCCUCAGAGGAGGAUGGGUGGAGGAAGAGAUAAGGAGGCCCUGCCUUAUCUGCUGUUACCAGGUGUCCCAUUAACAGAGGGCAUCAGCCCUCUUCCCCCCCUAGAGUUACAAGAGAUAAGGAACAAUAUCUCCCAACCGACUUCAACAGGUGAAAACAGAAUACACAUUUUUGAUUACAUUUUUCAACCCAAGAAACUGAUUGGCUCAGUGAUGGAAACAGCACAGGAGAAGCAGUGGGAGAAGGGACACGGCAAAGGCUGGACUGCAGAAAGAUUUCAGCUCUGCUCUUUGGGUUCUCUUUGCUCUCCCGGACCAGCCAGAGCAAACCUGCACAUUCCUCUCCCCUUGGAUCCUCCUUCCCCAGGGCAUGACUGACCAGGGAUAAAGUCUAUCAGCUCUUCAGUCAUUAAAAAAUGACAUUUGUGCCCAUAAAUCAGCCAGGGUGAGGAACACCAGCAGCACAGAGACACUGAGGGCUGGUCUGGCAGCAUGUCUGGAGCAGCAGCAGGGAAAUCAGGGGGACAGGCACAGCCCGGGGCAGGUGUGUGCCCAGCAAUCCCAGCUGGGAGGGUUUGUGUCGCUGUUCCUAGGUCUGAGUGACCUUUGGAGAGGGAACUGCUCGCUCUGUGUUUCUCCAGAGCGGCUAAAUGGGAGCAACCACGAGUCUUUCACAGCUCACUGCCCUCAGAAACGCGUCCUGCCGGAGCUGUCAGGAGACACAUCCUCCUCUCCGGCCCAUUAAAGAGGAUAUUUAACAGCUUUUUUUACAUUUCAGACGGAGCUGUCUCAGAGCUGGUGGUUUCUUUGUUUCCAGAUUGCAACAGUCACGUACUCCCUGGUAAAUAAACUCCCAGCGCUGGAGCCCCAGGGACACAAACACCGCCACGUCCCCGAGCUCCCUGAUCCGACAGCCUGCAUCUCUGGAUCCUGACAGCCCCUGCCUGGCUGAGCCUCUGGGCAGGUCCUGCCCCCAGGAUUUAGAGCCCUGCUUAGCACAGGCAGGAGCUCAUUUCUCUGCCUCAGAUUUAAAGCCUGCAGUGAAUUUCUCACCUUCCCUGUCUAAGGGAAAAUACUACUGGAGACAAAUGGCUGGGAUGAGGUGGAGGAGCCUCUUUAAAAUCAG